CAGAUUUACAACAUUUCUACGGUUUUUGUGUCCCAAAAUACAAUCAGAGUGGACCGACGAAAUUCCUUUGUGGUGCUCAGUAAUCACCACCAGGGGGUGAUCAACAUAAAUCAGAUACAUUCAAGCAACCACCUGACUUUUAUUGUGAAAUCCGGAAGCCAUCCUUAACCUGGAAGUAUUUCAAUUAUUGUAGGAAGUUUUCCGCCAUAAAACCGACACUGAUUUGACGGACAUAAAGGCUGAAAAUAGAACGGUAUGGACUCUCCAGGCAGAAGUAAAAGUCCCAGUCCUGUUGAAAAAGAACAAGGUGGACCUUCAGAAGACGAGUCCAGCAAUGCAGCGGAGAAGCCUCAGCAGGCCGGCUCGGUUGAAGGAAGCCCCAAAGAGAAGUUGUCCCCUCCAGCCAGUCCUGCAGGCCGUUCCCCCUCUGGCAGUCCCCCCUCGGGGAGCGGUGACUGCAGCAGCUCAGACGACAGCACCAGCAGUGAUGAUGAUGAUGAACAUCAUGGUGCACUGAAGAAGUUGAGGAGCAGUGUGGCUCAGAUCAAAGUAAGCAAGGAUUACUACUGUUACUGGCUGUUUCUUUUAGGUUUACAACUUUAGGGAUGGCGGACCAGCGGGGUUGGUCCGCAGAACGGACGUGUUUGGGGGACUGAGAUGCUACGGAUAAAGUUAGCAAGUCUGCUUUAUGAUACUGAGCAGUGAAGAAACCCCUCCAAACCUCUGUACCGACACGCACUGUCUGCUCUUUUGAACUUGGG
ensembl:lncRNA